AUGUCUAAGGGACCUGCAGAUGGCAUUGAUCUUUGCACCACCUACUUAUGUGUGGAGGUUUUCCAGCACGGAAAAGUAGAGAUAACUGCCAAUGAUCAGGGGAACCAAACCACCCCAAGCUAUGUCAUCUUUACUGACACCAAAUGAUUGAUUGGUGAUGCUGCAAAGAAUGAAGUUGCAAUGAACUCCACCCACACAAUUUUUGAUGCCAAGCGUCUAAUGGAUGUAGAUUUGAUAAUGCUGUUGUCCAAUCUGAUAUGAAGCAUUGGCCCUUCGUGGUAGUGAAUGAUGCAGGCAGGCCCAAGGUCCAAGUAGAAUACAAGGGAAAGACAGAAAGUUUCUUUCCAGAGGAGGUGUCAUCUAUGGUACUGACAAAGAUAAAGGAAAUUGCAGAAGCCUAAAUGCUGUGGUCACAGUGUCAGCUUACUUUAAUGACUCUUAGCACCAAGCUACCAAAGAUGCCAGAACCACUGCUGGUCUCAAUGUACUCAGGAUUGUCAAUGAGCCAACUGUUGCUGUUUAUUGCUUAUGGCUUAGACAAAAAGGUUGGAGCUGAAAGAAAUGUGUUGAUCUUUGACUUAGGAUGUGGCACUUUUGAUGUGUCAGUCCUCACUAUUGAGGAUGGAAUCUCUGAGGUCAAAUCUACAGCUGGAGACACACACACUUGGGUGGAGAAGGUUUUGACAACCGAAUGGUCAACCCUUUUAUUGCUGAGUUCAAGCGCAAGCAUAAGAAGGAUAUCAAUGAGAAUAAGAGAGCUGUCCCAUGCCUCCGUACUGCUUGUGAAUGUGCUAAACAUAUUCUCUUUUCCAGCACCCAGGCCAGUAUUGAGACUGAUUCUCUCUAUGAAGGAAUUGACUUCUAUACCUCCAUUACCCGUGCUCAGUUUGAAGAAUUAGAUGCUGACCUGUUCUGUGGCAUCCUGGACUCAGUAGAGAAAGCCCUGCAGCAUGCCAAACUAGACAAGUCUCAGAUCCAUGAUAUUGUCCUGGUGGGCAGUUCUAUCAAUAUCCUCAAGAUUUAGAAGCUUUGGGCCGGCCCGAAGCUUCUACAAGACUUUUUCAGUGGAAAAAUGCUGCAUAAGAGCAUCAACCCUGAUGAGGCUGUUGCUUAUGGUGCAGCUGUCCAGGCAGCCAUCCCAUCUGGAAACAAAUCUGAAAAAUGUUCAAGAUUUGCUGCUCUUAGAUGUCACUCCUCUUUCCGUUGGUAUUGAAACUGCUGGUGAAGUCAUGACUAUCCUCAUCAAGCACAAUACUACCAUUCCUACCAAGCAGGCCCAGACCUUUACUACCUAUUCUGACAACCAGCUUGGUGUGCUCAUUCAGGUUUAUGAAGGUGAGCAUGCCAUGCCCAAGAAUAACAACCUGCUUGGCAAGUUUAAAUUCACAGGCAUACCUCCUGCACCCCAUGGCAUUCCUCAGAUUGAAGUCACUUUUGACAUUGAUGCCAAUGGCAUCCUCAACACCUCUGCUGUGGAUAAGAGUACAGGAAAGGAGAACAAGAUUACCAUCAAUAAUGACAGCCAUUUGAGCAAGGAAGACAUUGAACGGAUGGUCCAAGAAGCUGCAAAGUACAGAGCUAAAGAUGAGAAGCAGAGAGACAAGGUGUUGUCUAAGAAUUCACUUGAAUCCUAUGCAUUCAACAUGAAAGCAACUGUUGAAGAUGAAAAACUUCAAGGCAAGAUCGAAUAUGAGGACAAACAGAAGAUUCCUGAUAAGUGUAAUGAAAUCAUCAACUUCUUUAUAAGAAUCAGACUGCACAGAAGGAAGAAUUUGAACAUCAGCAAAAAGAGCUGGAGAAAGCCUGCAACCCCAUGGUCACCAAGCUGUACCAGAGUGCAGGAGGCAUGCCAGGAGGAAUGCCUGGUGGCUUCCCUGGCAUAGGAGCUCCUCCACGUGGUAGUGCUUCUUCAGGGCCCACCAUUGAAGAGGCUGAUUAGGACAACCCAAGUAUAGACGUAGCAUUGUUCCACAAAGUAAAACACUGAAAGAUUCAAAUUUGUAGCAAAUUCUGUGGCAUUUCAAAAGUUGAGCUGCUAUAGUAAAUUACUGGACAUUCUCAAUACUUGAAUAUGGAACCUAUGCACAAGGAAAGGAAAUAACAUUGCACUUUAUAAGUACUGUAUUGUAAGUGGAAAAUGCGAUGUCUUAAAUAAAACUGUAUUUAAAAUU